rnacentral:misc_RNA from 1 species
UCCAGACUGGGUAAGGCAAAGUACAAGAUAAGAAAAGAAGGGAGAGCAAAUACAAAGGUGAUAAGGAUGUAGAGUGACAAGAUGGCUGCACUGGCCGGUAUUGCAUACAAAACAAUCAGAAGAAAUAUGACAAUCAAUGGAAACUUAGCUGUCAAGUGAACAAAGAAAACCAACGACUUGCGAAAGGAUAACUGAAGUCUCUCAGCAUUGAAGUAUCUAAUGUUAAGGCGACCUUCGUCAUGGUUAGAUGCUGCUUGUUCUGGAGGACAAGGAUAUGAGGCUCGCCUGUUGCUCAUAUGGGUAACUUGAUUGCCCAUGGCUUGAUUUCUUUUUGAAGAAGAAACAGGCUGAUGAUCCCCACGAAAGGAGAAAUAUGACUUUGACCUAUCACCAUUCAUGCCCUCAACCAUCCAAAGUAGAAAGUAGUUCUUCCGAGGAAACCUGAGGUGUCCUUUGUGGACCAAUCUGAAAGAUAAUAGAUUACACCAAGGACAAGA